rnacentral:rRNA from 1 species
CCUACGGGAGGCAGCAGUGAGGAAUAUUGGUCAAUGGGCGGAAGCCUGAACCAGCCAAGUAGCGUGCAGGAUGACGGCCCUACGGGUUGUAAACUGCUUUUAUACGGGAAUAACGCGCCUUACGUGUAGGGCUUUGCAUGUACCGUAUGAAUAAGGACCGGCUAACUCCGUGCCAGCAGCCGCGGUAAUACGGAAGGUCCGGGCGUUAUCCGGAUUUAUUGGGUUGAAAGGGAGCGUAGGCGGAAUGUCAAGGCUGCUGUGAAAUGUCCGGGCUCAACCCGGGCCUUGCAGGGGAAACUGGCGUGCUUGAGUCCGCGAGAGGCAGGCGGAAUUCGUGGUGUAGCGGUGAAAUGCUUAGAUAUGACGAAGAACACCGAUUGCGAAGGCAGCUUGCUGGAGCGGAACUGACGCUGAUGCUCGAAAGCGCGGGUAUCGAACAGGAUUAGAUACCCUGGUAGUC